CCUUCGAUAGCUCAGUGGUAGAGCGGGGACUUUAAAUCCUGAUGGCGCUAGUUCAAAUCCAGCUCGAGGGU
rnacentral:tRNA from 1 species